GUUUAAUUAAGUUCUCACUUAAUUGUGGCUGAAAAAUUUACCACCGGGCGCCCAAGUAUCGUAAACACCACCAAAGUACAUUGCUUUCCAAACAAGUAACCAUGCACCUAGACCUAAAAUGAUUAAGUGGUAACCUAAAAUGUUUGUCAUUUUGUUUUUGUCUUUCCA
rnacentral:antisense_RNA from 10 species